rnacentral:rRNA from 1 species
GCGUAGAUAUCGGGAGGAACAUUAUCUGUGGCGAAGGCGACUACCUGGACCAGCACUGACACUGAGGCACGAAAGCGUGGGGAGCAAACAGGAUUAGAUACCCUGGUAGUCCACGCCCUAAACGAUGCGAACUGGAUGUUGGGGGCAACUUGGCCCUCAGUAUCGAAGCUAACGCGUUAAGUUCGCCGCCUGGGAAGUACGGUCGCAAGACUGAAACUCAAAGGAAUUGACGGGGGCCCGCACAAGCGGUGGAGUAUGUGGUUUAAUUCGAUGCAACGCGCAGAAC